GAAAGCGGCUUCGGCCGUGAGUAGAGUGGCGCACGGGUGAGUAACACGUAGGUAAUCUACCGUUUGGUGGGGGAUAACAUUCCGAAAGGAAUGCUAAUACCGCGUACAGCCUCGGGGAGUCUGCUUCCUGAGGUCAAAGAUGGGGAUCUUCGGACCUAUCGCCGAACGAGGAGCCUGCGGCCCAUCAGCUAGUUGGUAAGGUAACGGCUUACCAAGGCGAAGACGGGUAGCUGGUCUGAGAGGAUGAUCAGCCACACUGGUACUGGAACACGGACCAGACUCCUACGGGAGGCAGCAGUGGGGAAUCUUGGUCAAUGGGCGCAAGCCUGAACCAGCGACGCCGCGUGAGUGAUGAAGGCCUUCGGGUUGUAAAGCUCUGUGGGGAGGGACGAAAAAGGCCUGUUCGAAUAGGGCAGGUUGUUGACGGUACCCCCUUAGCAAGCACCGGCUAACUCUGUGCCAGCAGCCGCGGUAAGACAGAGGGUGCAAACGUUGCUUGGAAUCACUGGGCGUAAAGCGCGUGUAGGCUGAUGUCCAAGUCAGGUGUGAAAUCCCCGGGCUCAACCCGGGAACUGCAUUUGAAACUGGGCGUCUUGAGUGCUGGAGAGGAAAGCGGAAUUCCUGGUGUAGAGGUGAAAUUCGUAGAUAUCAGGAGGAACACCGGUGGCGAAGGCGGCUUUCUGGACAGUGACUGACGCUGAGACGCGAAAGCGUGGGGAGCAAACAGGAUUAGAUACCCUGGUAGUCCACGCCGUAAACGAUGAGUGCUAGAUGUCGCGGGUAUUGACCCCUGCGGUGUCGUAGCUAACGCGUUAAGCACUCCGCCUGGGAAGUA
rnacentral:rRNA from 1 species